AUAGCAGAUAUUGUUGAUCGUGUGUGUAGUUGCUAACCGAUAUUAGUUACCAAAACCGCCAAAGGUGGUGACUAGAUGUGAACUAUACAUUCCCUUUGCAACAGGAAAUUGGAAGUGAACUCACCUGACAGUCCACUGCAGAUUUAAGGGGGACGCUGUGUAUCAUGUCACCCCUUCUCCUAGAUGGUUUCAAUGGCAUGAUAUGAGACUUUGCUAUGAUCUAAGCAUCAAAACCAUCAUUAAACUCUGGUCUACGCAUU
rnacentral:lncRNA from 1 species